CACACCUCACGUAGUAGCUCUUUCUCCUGAUGCUUCUAUGUUUUAAUCUCCUGUCUCGCUUAACGUCUGUUUUUACUUUCCAGUUGAGCGUCAUUUCAUUCCUGGGAAUUAAGAAAUGGCGAGGCCAAGACAUCAUUGCCAAGCUCACAAGCCUGUGGUAUUCAUGUGGGCAUUCCGGAGAGCUGCAGCAAACUUAAGACGGAAACCCAGACAGCUGAAGAGGAAAGGGAUAAGGCACAGAGUUACUGAUCAGCCCAGAGACCUCCACCAGUCAGGCCUUACAAAGGAUGACUACUCGCCUGGAGCUGCAAUUAUUCAUCCUUCAUAAACAGAGAUCGCUUCUCAGAAUUGUUAACAUUGCUUCUGUUAGUCUUUAAACAAAGCGGUCUGUUUAUAAGUUAGGAACAUUAAAAAAAAAAGUCAUCCACCUUGUAUUGUUUAAAAAAAAAAAAAAAAGAAGAAGUCUGCACACACUCGAUACCAAACUGAAAAGGAAUGGAGAAGAGAUGGAGGCAUAGCCUGAGACCCACAUGGGUUUUUAACUGGCUAAGUUCAAUUUUCUCUUUCAAGGCUGUAGUAGCCAUUUUAAAUAUUUAAACAUUAACAUAAAUACCACACAAACAUCAAAGCGUUCUGGGGAGGAGGUCAUGCCAUUAUUUACCCAAAUGCUCAAGUCUCUGAGGGAGGGCACCUUGGGUUUCAGCUUGGGCUCAGGUGCUGGGCUCACUUUCUCUUUUUUUAUCUUCUAGACGCCAGAGUCCAAGCAUUAAAAGGUAAGGAGAGUCCAGCAAGAUAAAAGAGUUAACCCUUCUUUUUUAAGUGACCUUCUUGGGAGGAUACCAACUUUUCCGCCCCCCAGAUUUAGAAUCCACUUCCAAAUGAUACAACUGGAAUUUAAUUCCCCAAAAGAACAACUUUUGCAAAGGAACCUUUAUCCCAUUUAGUAUAGCUUUGAGCUCUAGAGGAAGGCGAGCCAUCUGACUUACCCUGCAUGAGGAUCUGUAGUACUGAUUACCACCAGUUCUGAUAUGUCCAACUCCAGUAGACUUAAGAUCUGCAUCGUCCAUAUCAUUGACUUGGCCACCUCGUUACAUAUGUGGGGGCAGGCGUAUUUGGUACCGCAGAAACAAAGGUGAACAGAUUGCCAGUAAGACUGAUCACUAUAGCCUCAAGUUUAGGCUGAAAAAAUAGCCUCCCUUGAUUUCUCUGCCCUCAGAUUGCCCUAGUUUCCAUUCCGCCUCCCAAUCUAGCUGACAUAUUUCAGCCACAGUUUCCAUUAUAGAAGUUUAAUCAUGUGGCCCACCUCUACUGCCAGCCUCAUUAAAAAG
rnacentral:lncRNA from 1 species